GAUGAAGAACGUAGCGAAAUGCGAUAAGUAAUGUGAAUUGCAGAAUUCAGUGAAUCAUCGAAUCUUUGAACGCACAUUGCGCCCCUUGGUAUUCCGAGGGGCAUGCCUGUUCGAGCGUCAUUAUAACCCCUCAAGCUCAGCUUGGUGUUGGGGCCUGCUGCACUGGCAGCCCUUAAAAUCAGUGGCGGCGCCAUCUGGCUCUAAGCGUAGUAAUUCUUCUCGCUAUGGAGUCCUGGUGAUGCUUGCCAUCAACCCCCAAUUUUUCUAUGGUUGACCUCGGAUCAGGUAGGGAUACCCGCUGAACUUAAGCAUAUCAAUAAGCGGAGGA
rnacentral:misc_RNA from 1 species